UUUACAUUCAGACAGCAGUCAUUUGGUGGUACAAAUCUUGACUUUGGUCAGGCAGUACAGUGCAUCGCAACUAGAAGACCUCAGUGGUAGGAGCAAAGUUAAAAUUAAGAUCUUCAGCAGCAUGGACGAUAGUCAAAGCAUAUUCACAGCAGUAUGUGUUGGAUUGUGUAUCGCAUUUGUUUUGUAUCUAUUAAAAAUAUAUAUACAUUUGCGGGAAAGGAUCGUGUUUAUCCUGACUGCAAUAAUUUUAAACUACCUCGCUAUAGUUGUUGCCGUUUGGGCAAGAGAACAAAUGACGUCUGCAGUGAAUCGCUUCAAGGAUGAAAUUUUAUAAUUUGAGAUAUAUUCUUAUACGUCUACUUUUUAAGGAACAGUAAAUAUCAAAGUAACUUUGAAUGUUUUAAAACGAAGAAAUUCCUAAAUUUAUAUUGCAGAUUUGUUUAGCAAUUUUGAACACGCUAAAGAGUUUUCAAUACAUGUAUACCUCACACAGUUUAGAUAUCCUGGAUAAUUUUAUUUUAUUUAAUAAGUUAAAGAAGACGUUUUAGUAUUGACUAUAUAUCUAACUUAUACCCAUAUAAGUACAUGCAGUCUACGACCUAUUAAUCAUUUAAAAUGGAAGUGAUGGCAGUUUAAAUGCGUAAUGCUGCACAGAGGUAAAUAUUUAAGACUAAAAUCUCAUAAUAUUGACGACAUACAUACCGUGUGGAAGAUGAUGUAAAGAACGUCAGAUAGAAGUAACUUGUCUGUGAGUUAAUUAUAAAUGUACGAGAGAAGAUCACAAAAUUCGUGGGCCACCUUUAAUGAGCAGUGUUUGGCAUAUUGAAACUGGCAGUAUCAAUCCGUAAUGAAACCACAAACCAAAUCAAAUUCGUCUGCAAAGAAAUAAUUGUCGAUUGGUGGGGAUGAAAGUAAAACCUACCCCCCCCCCUCCUGCCGCCUCAGAAACUACUUUUACAUUCAGACGUAACUCUUUGACUUCGACCUGGAAGCGUAGUCUACCGCAAUCGGGAAGAGCGAGUGAUAAGCGGACAGGAAAACCAAGAACUCCAGCAGCAUGGACGAGAAUACAAACACUCUUACAGCAAUAUUUUCAGGGUUGUGUUUCGCAUUUUCGUUGUAUCUGUUAACAAGAUGUAUGCACUUUCCGGAAAGGAUUUCUUUUCUUUGGCUUAGAGUAUUUGUGAACAUUGCCACUCUUAUUGCUAUCGUCUUCAUGAUUGAAAAAGUAGGCUCGCAAGAAGAUUAAAACGUAUCUAACAAAUCUUAAUAAAGAUUUGUAAUUUGCGAUAAUAUUCUUAUACGCCCACAUUUUAAGGAACAAUACAAAUCAAAGUAACUUCUUAUGUUUUAAAAUACAGCAAUUCAUGAAUCUGGAUUACAAAUUUUAUUAGUGGUUUUAGAGACAUUAAAUACUUUUUAAUACAAUUAUACCUCACGGUUUAGUGAUGUUGAAAAUUAUCAUCAAUGAGUAUUUAAAGAAGACAUUUUAAUACUGUCUAUAUAAGUUUUAUUUAAACACGCGCAAACGUACGAAGUCUUUGGCCAAUUAACCAUUUAAGAAUAGAAGUGAUACAGUUUUUAAUGUGUAAUGCUGCAUAGAGGAAAAGACUGAAGGCUAAAAUGCCACAAUGAUUACGACAUUGUCUAUACUGUGUGAAGAUAAAUGAAGAUAACUACAGAUGGAAAAAGAAAUAUGUGUGGGUGUACCAAGUGAAAACCAUGAAAACUGUGGGCAUUCACUUCUAAGCAGAUUUCAAUAUCACGAUGUUUACUACAAUUGGAAACAACUUUGUGUACCUGUAAUUUUGUCGGCGUAACAGGUGAAAAUUGUGAAAGUCGUGGACCUAUAUUUCUGAACAGGUCCCGACUUACUUGUGAAGACAGGAUCAUAGUAUACUCAAGAUUGUUUCAACCUGACCAUCAAAUCUAUACAGACAAUUUUUGGAACCACGACAAUAAUAACCAUACUAAAACAGUAAAACACUAAUUAUGCUGUUAGUAUCAGUGGAUUUCUGUACUUUAUCCACUAUUUUAUAUUCCGAAGAGAACAGAUCAUUUUCGUAACUUCGUUUCCGACCUCAGAUGAAAGAGUACCAGCACUUACUCGGUUGGGUUUCUUAGACAGAGCAAAUGUCAGUCAAUGAACUUUGUAUUGUGUGUGGAGUACUAAGAAGACGGGAAAUGUAGAGUCCUAUGCAUGUUCUUCGACGACAGGCCUACGGAGAUGCUUGAAUAAAACACGAGAGUGAAGCCGAAAUUCCCUAAAGAAUAUGAAGCAUAAUUAAAUGACAAAGCAUGCAACUGUUUACAUAACUGUCCCCUGUCUUCAACAACGUGCAUUAUAAACUUUUAAUUAUAUUCUUAAUAUUCGUCUGUAUAUCACACAUAUCUUAUAUGAAAUUUAAUUAAUGUUCGCAUCUUAAUUUUCUUCAAGACUUUAACAUUCUGUAAUAACUACCUAACGUUAAGGCGACAUUUAUGCUUAAAUUGUGGUUGUCUUUGCCUCAAGCGUUUGGGCUUUAUUUUAAUAAAUUUGUUUUAAUGAAAAAUAUAAAUUUUUAUAACAUGAGGUGAGUUCUGGGGCUAUAUUAGCUUUGUGUUAAAACUUUUCUGGUUCAGCAUAUUUUGUAAUGCGGAAAUAAUCCAUCCUCUGGACUAAUGGCUACAUUCUUAACAUGUUCAUCGAAAUGCGAACUUUUUAUUAUUACUUUAAUUAAACAUUUCUCACAGUAAAACCCAAAGUUUUCAGUUUAAAAGUCGGAUCUAUUAGGAGAGCAAAUCUGAGAGAGAAAGACAAAGUGAGAGAGAAGAAACGAAUAAAUUUGAAACAACUAAUAAUUAAACAACCUAUGAGCCCUAAAUCGUGUUGUUUUCGGUAAAGUACAAUCUUGUAUAGCCUGCUAUAGAACUACAACCUAACAUGUACAGUGCCACCUAAAGUUUAAAGGCAAAUUUUAUAUUUAUAUUUAAAUUGUAUAUAUGCUUUGUUCUAAAGAAUAAAUUUAACAAAGGAUGGUAAAAACAA